rnacentral:rRNA from 1 species
CUCAACUGGGAGAGGCCGUUCGAAACGGGGCAACUAGAGCGUGGUAGAGGCGAGUGGAAUUCCCGGUGUAGUGGUGAAAUGCGUAGAUAUCGGGAGGAACACCAGAGGCGAAAGCGGCUCGCUGGGCCACGACUGACGCUCAGACGCGAAAGCUAGGGGAGAGAACGGGAUUAGAAACCCCGGUAUUCCUAGCCGUAAACGAUGUCAACUAGGUGUAGGAGGUCUAAACGCCUUCUGUGCUGCCGCCAACGCAGUAAGUUGACCGCCUGGGGAGUACGGCCGCAAGGCUAAAACUCAAAGGAAUUGACGGGGGCCCGCACAAGCAGCGGAGCGUGUGGUUUAAUUCGACGCAACGCGAAGAACCUUACCUGGCCUUGACAUGUUGGGAAUCCCUCAGAGAUGAGGGAGUGCCUUCGGGAACCC